UCCCUAGUGGCUUAGAUGGUAAAGCGUCUGCCUGCAAUGCAGGAGACCUGGGUUCUAUCCCAGGGUUGGAGAG
rfam:Ovis aries breed Texel chromosome 6, whole genome shotgun sequence.